rnacentral:rRNA from 2 species
GGGUUGUGAGGUUAAGCGACUAAGCGUACACGGUGGAUGCCCUGGCAGUCAGAGGCGAUGAAGGGCGUGCUAAUCUGCGAUAAGCGCCGGUAAGGUGAUAUGAACCGUUAUAACCGGCGAUACCCGAAUGGGGAAACCCAGUGUGACUCGUCACACUAUCAUUAACUGAAUCCAUAGGUUAAUGAGGCGAACCGGGGGAACUGAAACAUCUAAGUACCCCGAGGAAAAGAAAUCAACCGAGAUUCCCCCAGUAGCGGCGAGCGAACGGGGAGGAGCCCAGAGCCUGAAUCAGCAUGUGUGUUAGUGGAAGCGUCUGGAAAGGCGCGCGAUACAGGGUGACAGCCCCGUACACAAAAGCGCAUAUGCUGUGAGCUCGAUGAGUAGGGCGGGACACGUGGUAUCCUGUCUGAAUAUGGGGGGACCAUCCUCCAAGGCUAAAUACUCCUGACUGACCGAUAGUGAACCAGUACCGUGAGGGAAAGGCGAAAAGAACCCCGGCGAGGGGAGUGAAAAAGAACCUGAAACCGUGUACGUACAAGCAGUGGGAGCCCCACCACUAAGCCAGUGGUGAACUCCACAUACGCAUCCUUUGCUGAGGAUACGGUUAACGGAGCGAAAGCGACGUUCAACCGCAAAAGAAGCAGAGGGGGCUUAGUGGUGGGGUGACUGCGUACCUUUUGUAUAAUGGGUCAGCGACUUAUAUUCUGUAGCAAGGUUAACCGAAUAGGGGAGCCGGAGGGAAACCGAGUCUUAAUUGGGCGUUAAGUUGCAGGGUAUAGACCCGAAACCCGGUGAUCUAGCCAUGGGCAGGUUGAAGGUUGGGUAACACUAACUGGAGGACCGAACCGACUAAUGUUGAAAAAUUAGCGGAUGACCUGUGGCUGGGGGUGAAAGGCCAAUCAAACCGGGAGAUAGCUGGUUCUCCCCGAAAGCUAUUUAGGUAGCGCCUCGUGAAUUCAUCUCCGGGGGUAGAGCACUGUUUCGGCUAGGGGGCCAUCCCGGCUUACCAACCCGAUGCAAACUGCGAAUACCGGAGAAUGUUAUCACGGGAGACACACGGCGGGUGCUAACGUCCGUCGUGAAGAGGGAAACAACCCAGACCGCCAGCUAAGGUCCCAAAGUCAUGGUUAAGUGGGAAACGAUGUGGGAAGGCCCAGACAGCCAGGAUGUUGGCUUAGAAGCAGCCAUCAUUUAAAGAAAGCGUAAUAGCUCACUGGUCGAGUCGGCCUGCGCGGAAGAUGUAACGGGGCUAAACCAUGCACCGAAGCUGCGGCAGCGACACUCAGGUGUUGUUGGGUAGGGGAGCGUUCUGUAAGCCUGCGAAGGUGGCCUGUGAGGGUUGCUGGAGGUAUCAGAAGUGCGAAUGCUGACAUAAGUAACGAUAAAGCGGGUGAAAAGCCCGCUCGCCGGAAGACCAAGGGUUCCUGUCCAACGUUAAUCGGGGCAGGGUGAGUCGACCCCUAAGGCGAGGCCGAAAGGCGUAGUCGAUGGGAAACGGGUUAAUAUUCCCGUACUUGGUGUUACUGCGAAGGGGGGACGGAGAAGGCUAUGUUGGCCGGGCGACGGUUGUCCCGGUUUAAGCGUGUAGGUGUGUGUUCCAGGUAAAUCCGGUUCACUUUAACACUGAGGCGUGACGACGAGGCACUACGGUGCUGAAGCAACAAAUGCCCUGCUUCCAGGAAAAGCCUCUAAGCAUCAGGUAACAUCAAAUCGUACCCCAAACCGACACAGGUGGUCAGGUAGAGAAUACCAAGGCGCUUGAGAGAACUCGGGUGAAGGAACUAGGCAAAAUGGUGCCGUAACUUCGGGAGAAGGCACGCUGACAUGUAGGUGAAGUGAUUUACUCAUGGAGCUGAAGUCAGUCGAAGAUACCAGCUGGCUGCAACUGUUUAUUAAAAACACAGCACUGUGCAAACACAAAAGUGGACGUAUACGGUGUGACGCCUGCCCGGUGCCGGAAGGUUAAUUGAUGGGGUCAGCGCAAGCGAAGCUCCUGAUCGAAGCCCCGGUAAACGGCGGCCGUAACUAUAACGGUCCUAAGGUAGCGAAAUUCCUUGUCGGGUAAGUUCCGACCUGCACGAAUGGCGUAAUGAUGGCCAGGCUGUCUCCACCCGAGACUCAGUGAAAUUGAACUCGCUGUGAAGAUGCAGUGUACCCGCGGCAAGACGGAAAGACCCCGUGAACCUUUACUAUAGCUUGACACUGAACAUUGAGCCUUGAUGUGUAGGAUAGGUGGGAGGCUUUGAAGUGUGGACGCCAGUCUGCAUGGAGCCGACCUUGAAAUACCACCCUUUAAUGUUUGAUGUUCUAACGUGGACCCGUGAUCCGGGUUGCGGACAGUGUCUGGUGGGUAGUUUGACUGGGGCGGUCUCCUCCUAAAGAGUAACGGAGGAGCACGAAGGUUGGCUAAUCCUGGUCGGACAUCAGGAGGUUAGUGCAAUGGCAUAAGCCAGCUUGACUGCGAGCGUGACGGCGCGAGCAGGUGCGAAAGCAGGUCAUAGUGAUCCGGUGGUUCUGAAUGGAAGGGCCAUCGCUCAACGGAUAAAAGGUACUCCGGGGAUAACAGGCUGAUACCGCCCAAGAGUUCAUAUCGACGGCGGUGUUUGGCACCUCGAUGUCGGCUCAUCACAUCCUGGGGCUGAAGUAGGUCCCAAGGGUAUGGCUGUUCGCCAUUUAAAGUGGUACGCGAGCUGGGUUUAGAACGUCGUGAGACAGUUCGGUCCCUAUCUGCCGUGGGCGCUGGAGAACUGAGGGGGGCUGCUCCUAGUACGAGAGGACCGGAGUGGACGCAUCACUGGUGUUCGGGUUGUCAUGCCAAUGGCACUGCCCGGUAGCUAAAUGCGGAAGAGAUAAGUGCUGAAAGCAUCUAAGCACGAAACUUGCCCCGAGAUGAGUUCUCCCUGAGACUUAGAGUCUCCUGAAGGAACGUUGAAGACGACGACGUUGAUAGGCCGGGUGUGUAAGCGCAGCGAUGCGUUGAGCUAACCGGUACUAAUGAACCGUGAGGCUUAACCUUACAACGCCGAAG